CAAGUUAAAGCUAAAUUAGUAAAGCCUUUUAUUUACAUUAAAAAGUAGUCGUGCGAUUCGAUAUAAUUUGA
rnacentral:tRNA from 1 species